GUGGGGAAUAUUGGGCAAUGGGGGCAACCCUGACCCAGCAACGCCGCGUGAGGGAAGAAGGUUUUCGGAUUGUAAACCUCUGUCCUAUGGGAAGAAGGAAGUGACGGUACCAUAGGAGGAAGCCCCGGCUAACUACGUGCCAGCAGCCGCGGUAAUACGUAGGGGGCGAGCGUUGUCCGGAAUUACUGGGCGUAAAGGGUGCGCAGGUGGCCUGACAAGUCAGAUGUGAAAUACCGAUGCUUAACGUCGGGGCUGCAUUUGAAACUAUGAGGCUGGAGUGCAGGAGAGGGAAGCGGAAUUCCUAGUGUAGCGGUGAAAUGCAUAGAUAUUAGGAGGAACCCCAGUGGCGAAGGCGGCUUUCUGGACUGUAACUGACACUGAGGCACGAAAGCGUGGGGAGCAAACAGGAUUAGAAACCCGAGUAGUCC
rnacentral:rRNA from 1 species